UGUGCUGUUCACAGGUCUGCUGUUUUUGGUGCUCGGUCCGGUUCCAGAGGUCUGCUGUUGUUGGUGCUCGGUCCGGUUCCAGAGGUCUGAUGUUGUCGGUGCUCGGUCCGGUUCCAGAGGUCUGCUGUUGUUGGUGCUCGGUCCGGUUCAGAGGUCUGCUGUUGUUGGUGCUCGUCCUGUUCACAGGUCUGCUGUUGUUGGUGCUCGGUCCGGUUCCAGAGGUCUGCUGUUGUUGGUGCUUGGUCCUGUUCACAGGUCUGCUGUUGUUGGUGCUUGGUCCGGUUCCAGAGGUCUGCUGUUGUUGGUGCUUGGUCCGGUUCCACAGGUCUGCUGUUGUUGGAGCUUGGUCCGGCUCCAGAGGUCUGCUGUUGUUGGUGCUUGUUCCGGUUCCAGAGGUCUGCUGUUGUUGGUGCUUGGUCCGUUCCAGAGGUCUGCUGUUGUUGGUGCUCGGUCCGGUUCCAGAGGUCUGCUGUUGUUGGUGCUUGGUCCGGUUCCAGAGGUCUGCUGUUGUUGGUGCUUGGUCCGGUUCCAGAGGUCGUGUACUGAACAACCUGUUUUAUUAUCAUCCUUUCA